rnacentral:rRNA from 1 species
UACGGAGGGUGCAAGCGUUAUCCGGAUUUACUGGGGUUAAAGGGUGCGUAGGUGGGUAAGUAAGUCAGUGGUGAAAUCUUCGAGCUUAACUCGGAAACUGCCAUUGAUACUAUUUAUCUUGAAUACUUUGGAGGUAAGCGGAAUAUGUCAUGUAGCGGUGAAAUGCUUAGAUAUGACAUAGAACACCAAUUGCGAAGGCAGCUUACUACACAGUUAUUGACACUGAGGCACGAAAGCGUGGGGAUCAAACAGG